rnacentral:tRNA from 1 species
AGGUUUUUAGUUUAAUCAAAACACUUGAUUUCGGCUCAAAAGCUUGUGGUUAAAGUCCACAAUUACCU